rnacentral:rRNA from 1 species
CCUACGGGAGGCAGCAGUGAGGAAUAUUGGUCAAUGGGCGGGAGCCUGAACCAGCCAAGCCGCGUGUGGGAAGAAGGUACAGCGUAUCGUAAACCUCUUUUGCCAGGGAACAAAGGCUGGGAUUAGUCCCUGGAUGAGGGUACCUGAAGAAAAAGCAUCGGCUAACUCCUUGCCAGCAGCCGCGGUAAUACGGGGGAUGCGAGCGUUAUCCGGAUUGAUGGGGUUUAAAGGGUGCGCAGGGGGCCUGUUAAGUCAGCGGUAAAAGCCCGGGGCUAAACCCCGGAGAGCCGUUGAGACUGGUGGGCUGGAGUGGGAGAGAGGUAGGCGGAAUGCGAGGUGUAGCGGUGAAAUGCUUAGAUAUCGCGCAGAACCCCGAUUGCGAAGGCAGCGUACCGGCUCCACACUGACGCUGAGGCACGAAAGCGUGGGUAUCGAACAGGAUUAGAUACCCCAGUAGUC